rnacentral:rRNA from 1 species
AAUCAACGCUGGCGGCGUGCCUAACACAUGCAAGUCGAACGCGAAAGCCCGCAAGGGUAAGUAGAGUGGCGCACGGGUGAGUAACACGUGGACAACCUGCCUUCGAGUGGGGAAUAACCUUCCGAAGGAGGGCGUAUACCGCAUAACACCUCGGGACACAAGUUCUGGGGUUGGAAAAGAGCAAUUUGCUCGAAGAGGGGUCCGCGCCUGAUUAGCUAGUUGGUGAGGUAACGGCUCACCAAGGGCUUCGAUCAGUAGCCGUCCUGAGAGGGAGCACGGCCACACUGGAACUGAGACACGGUCCAGACUCCUACGGGAGGCAGCAGUGGGGAAG